GGAUUGAGAUUGAUAAAGGAAAGAGAGAAUUGACUCAGUUGGGCAAAGAGAAUGAGAAGAAGAGAAAAAUGGGUAACGUGGAUGACAUUGUGGAGGAUGUAAGCAUUGAUGGGUCGGGUUUGAAUUAUGAUUCUGAUGAGUUAACGGAGAAUAUUAAAAUGGAGGAGAUUGGUAAAAAUGGAGGGAAUAGCUCAAAUGCAAAUAGCAGUGUCACUGGCGGUGGUGUUGGAGAUCAGAGGGGGAAGAAGAAGGGGCUCCCUGCUAAGAAUUUGAUGGCAGAAAGGAGGCGCCGGAAGAAGCUCAAUGAUAGGCUGUACAUGCUAAGGUCUGUAGUCCCAAAGAUAAGCAAGAUGGAUAGGGCAUCAAUCCUUGGGGAUGCAAUUGAGUACUUGAAGGAACUUCUGCAAAGGAUCAAUGACCUCCAUAACGAAUUGGAGUCAACUCCUCCUGGCUCUUCAUUGACACCCACAAGUUUUCACCCCUUGACACCCACUCCAUCAACCCUGCCGAGCCGUAUCAAGGAUAAGCUUUGUCCCAGCUCAUUGCCAAGUCCAAAUAGUCAACCAGCAAGAGUUGAAGUCAGAGUGAGAGACGGAAGAGCUGUAAACAUUCAUAUGUUUUGUAGUCGCAGACCAGGUCUCCUGCUCUCUACCAUGAGGGCCUUGGAUAACCUUGGCCUAGACAUCCAGCAAGCUGUCAUCAGUUGUUUCAAUGGUUUUGCCAUGGAUAUCUUCCGAGCUGAGCAAAGCAGAGAAGGGCAGGAUGUGCAUCCUGAGCAAAUUAAAGCUGUACUCCUGGAUUCAGCAGGUUUCCAUGGAAUAAUUUAGCAGUCUUAGAACCUUUAACUUCAAGUAUUAAUUCAGAAAGCAUAAGGUUAUAUGCAGUAGCUAUCUUCUUUCUCAUGCCAAGGGGUCUUUUGUAAUAUCAAAUAUAGUCGUUUGCCACCAAGAGUUCUUUAGAAGAAUCAGAAUUCUGUAAUUUUCUGCUUGUUUUAAGCUUUU
rnacentral:misc_RNA from 1 species